AUUCGCGAGCACAGGCGCGUUCGCGCGAUACAUGUCGCUGGAGAAAGACUGGUUUACCUUCUUUCCCUUGAGCAUGGCGCGCGCGCAAGCAUGUUGCGUCUUUCCUUUCUUGUCCGCCUGCGGCCGCGGCACAUCAUGUUCACGCCCCCGCCUCUUGCGAAGCGCACGGGCAAGUUCAGGUGCAAAGCGUGCCAGCACAGCUGGUUCUCGGACGAGGUGUGGGUGACCAAGACGACGCAGCGCGUGUACCAAGGCGAGUCCUGCGAGACGUGCGGGACAACAAAUAAGCCGUACUACGUCGGCAGGCCAGAGGAGACUAUCUUUAACCGCGCUCGCACGCCCCACCCCGUAAAGCGCGGCGUCUCCUCGUCGCGCAGCGAGCGCAAGCUGAAACACUCACGGUUUGACUGGCGAGUCCAGAAGGGGCGGCACUGAGUACUGACCUUUGCUCGUUUCCUCAUCUGUGCUUCGUCGUUUCAUAUUAGUGGUAGGCCGCAUGCACGCACCAAAGCAGCUCUUCGUUGUGCCGCGUUGCUUCUGCAUGCAUUCACGAAGGAGAAGUUGAGGUGAAGGCCCCUCAACGACUCGCGCGGUUCUGCUCCUGCGUCCUCGACGGAUCGGUUACCGUGUGCAAGCCAACGACGCUGAAAAUGUGGCAUCCUUUCAUACUCUAACUCUUCCUUCUUUUUCGGCACGCAUGCACACAUGAGCAUGAUAGGCCGCACUCACUUCACUGGAACAACAACGAAAGGGCGUGCUAUCGAUGUGAAUGGAAUCAACGCAUCUGGGCCACUGCGUUGGCGACGUACUGCGCGACUCCCCGCCCCCACCCCUUUAGGACGCUUAUGCUUGCAACUGUCAAAGCCAUUGCAUCUUUUUCUGACGGCUUUGUGACAAUGAUAUGCGUUUUUCCUACUUCCCUCCAAGCUCUCAUCUUCCCGCACGCCCGCCUAAAUAUUUGACCUAAACAUGUUCUGUCCUCACCCUGUUGCUCGCCUUGCUGGCCAUAUCUAAACAUAAUCCCUCAUGGCCGCAACGAUGACAG
rnacentral:misc_RNA from 1 species